rnacentral:rRNA from 1 species
UGGGGAAUUUUGGACAAUGGGGGAAACCCUGAUCCAGCCAUCCCGCGUGUGCGAUGAAGGCCUUCGGGUUGUAAAGCACUUUUGGCAGGAAAGAAACGUCGCGGGUUAAUACCCCGCGAAACUGACGGUACCUGCAGAAUAAGCACCGGCUAACUACGUGCCAGCAGCCGCGGUAAUACGUAGGGUGCAAGCGUUAAUCGGAAUUACUGGGCGUAAAGCGUGCGCAGGCGGUUCGGAAAGAAAGAUGUGAAAUCCCAGAGCUUAACUUUGGAACUGCAUUUUUAACUACCGGGCUAGAGUGUGUCAGAGGGAGGUGGAAUUCCGCGUGUAGCAGUGAAAUGCGUAGAUAUGCGGAGGAACACCGAUGGCGAAGGCAGCCUCCUGGGAUAACACUGACGCUCAUGCACGAAAGCGUGGGGAGCAAACAGGAUUAGAUACCCUGGUAGUCCACGCCCUAAACGAUGUCAACUAGCUGUUGGGGCCUUCGGGCCUUGGUAGCGCAGCUAACGCGUGAAGUUGACCGCCUGGGGAGUACGGUCGCAAGAUUAAAACUCAAAGGAAUUG